UGAAAGAUAAGGGGAAAUAAAGUCAAGAAGCCGUGGCAAGCUAGCAUUCAGUAGACAGCAUUAGCAAAUAAAGAAUUGGAAUUGGCAAUUGCACAUGCAUUGCUUUAUAUGAUAUGGAAAGCAAAUUGAAGAAAAAGGAAAUUUUCAUAUUUAAUCAAGCAUGCACGUAAGGAACAAUGGCAAUUAAAUGGCUUUGAUUUGAAAUCAAAGAGGACGGCAUGUGGAAGGCAUCAGUUUCCUUGUUGAUCAUGGAUUUGGAGGAGGCAAAGGGUACUAAAUAAGUCGGCCACCAAGAAUGAUAAAAGCCAACCUUUGGCUUCUGAAGAAAUAGACGACCGGCAACUAAGAGGAGAAUUGGAGAUUGCAGUCGCAAGAAGAGAAGAAAAAAAUAGAAGCAGAGUUAAGUCUUUUGAAUUAAUCUCCAUGAUUGGUUUUAUCAACUCUUUUAUUUCCAAUUCAAUUACAUUAGGCUAAAUUUUCUAUUUGGUUGAGGGUGAAUUCAAAACCCCAAACAUGUGAUAUAAUUAAUUUUUAAUUUCUUUCAUUCAAUUUAAUUGAAAUUGUUUAUGUUCUUCUAUAAUUAAUGUCCAUAUUUUAUUCUUGUCUUAUUUGAGUGGCAAAAUAGAUAGGACUUGAAUAAAUUCUAUUGCUAGAUUAAAAUUCUUGAUCCGUAAUUGUCUUGAUAUUUUAAUCCUCAGUAGCAGGUUAGAAUCAAUGAUUUCAAUUGGAGAACAUUACCUAGGUUAAAUAAUCCGAGCUUAUGUAUUUAUUGCCUAGAUCAACCUGAUAUCUUUCUUGACUUAAUGCCUUCCAUUAUCUUAAAUUUAAAGAGCUUAUUUUAAAUUAUUUAAUGGUCAAAGAUUAGGUGAAAGAGUUUGUUUUGUCUAAUAACACACUAAGGAAAGAUUGACAUUAACAGAGUUUAUUGUUUCCUACAGUUGAUAGUUUCAGAACAAAUUGAUGAUAGAAUUGAUAUAUUAUAUGCAUGUUUGAUGGUGGCGAAUGAUCCUUUAAUCAAAGUUUUCAUCAUUAUUAUUUUUUUCUCCUUUAAUUAGAGUUUUUAUUGAAUUAUUGUUUUCAUAGUUUUAAUUUCUUUAUUUCUUACUAUUUAGUUAAAAAUUCAUAAAACCCCCAUUUUUAUUUAUAACUUGCAUUUUCUUUAAUUAGAUUAAUUAUUAUUAUUAUUAUUUAUUUAUUUUAUUUUAAGUCCUACUUUAGAGUUGAUCAUAAAUAUAACUAGCAUAGUGUUUGUGGGAUCGAUUCUUAUUCGCUUUGUAAUAGUUAUUUAUAUUAUUAGUAAGGUUUUAAAUUUGAUGUACUCUAACGACACUACCAAUCAUUUUUCUUUCAUUAUGAUUUUGAAUCAACUCUAACAUGCACAAAUACAUUAUCAUAGAUAAAAACAUUAUUUUCCUUUGGCACAUGGUCAAUCACAUGUAUAAGAUAAUUUUUCUUUGGUUGCAUAUAAGUUGCUUCAGGAGUAACAUACUCCUUUUUCUUGUCCUUUUGCUCUGUCACCAUCUAAUUAAAAUGAAUGAAAUCUAAAGACUCAAAAUAUUAUACAUUUUUAGUGAUUCAUGCCAGUAAUAUGGCAAAUGCUAUGUUACAAUUAAUGUAACAUACACACUCAACAACAACCACACAAAUUGUGUGGGCCCAUUAUUUAUGUGGUUGUUGUUGAGUGUGUAUGUUACAUUAAUUGUAACAUAGGGGCUCCCCAAUAAUAUUAAUUGAGAGAAGAUAAUAAUGUUAAUAGAAACUUCAUGGUUGUAACAAAAUAUGCAGAUUUGUUGUAACAAGAAGUGUGUAAGAUGAAGCAAUAUCUAAGUUAGAAACAAUUAAAUUGUUGGAAGCAGUUUACAGUACACUUUUAUUUUUAGAAAUGAAUUUGCCAAUGACUCGUAGGGAUGGAGCCUUGGGGGUACCUAAGUGAGAAAAUACAUAAAAGAGAACCUGAGUAGCAAUGGUUGACUUUUGUGGAUGCAUUUUUUGAAAUCAUAUGGAGCACAUCAACGUUAGGAAAUAUCAAGAAGCGUGCUUUUAAGGAUUUUCUCUUCACCUCUAUUUAGUUUUUAAUCUUAUUCAUAUGUGUUUGUAAAUAUUGAACCAAGACCUUGUGGGGACCUUAAGGGUAUCCCAUAAUAAUUAGCUUCAUUAUAAAAAUGUAUAUGUAAAUAUUGUAUAAAAACCUUGUGGGGACUUCAAGGUACCUCACAACGGUCACUUUUAUUAUGAAUAAGUAUCUGUAAAUAUUGUGUAAAGUCCUUGUUGGGACCUUAGGGUUACCCAACAAUGGUCAAUUAUGCUGUAAGUCUCUAUAAAGACUUAAGAGAUAAAAAAAUAUCACUCUUCCGAGGUUAACCACAGCCAAUCUUGUGAUGCUAUGAUCUAUGUUUACUGAUUAGUGUUAAAAAUUGUAUGUUUAUUAAGGGAUAAAAAUGUUAUUUUGUUUUAUUAAUGUAAUUUAUAUUUGUAAUUGUGUAACAUAUUGUGAAUUUCUAAUUAUUUUUCUAAAUAUUUGAUUUUGUGUAUUUUUGUGUGUUUAUUAGGUAAAAAUAAUAAUUUCAUGCAAUUUGAGGCUCCGAACAAAUGUAUGGAUGUCAAAUUUGGAUUCCGAAAGUCCGAAAAAUUAUGUCAUUGUUGAGGAGGAUCAAAGACUUUUGUUGUAAAUUUUUACGUUUUUACCACGCUAAAUGUAAUAAUUGUAAAAUUAUAAGUUUUUACCAUAUUAGGUAUGGUAAUUGUUAGUGGAAUGUGUUGGAUAUGCUUGAGUGGAUAAGUUAGGUUUAUAUUUUAUUAGUGGGAUUAUUAAUGGGACAAAUGUAAGGUUAAGAUCUAAUUAGAUUUUUUUUUAUUUGUGUGGUGUGGAUUUACCAUGUAUUAGUAUAAAUAGAAGGGGGGGUGAACACACCUCUCCACACCUUCUCUUCUCUUCUUUCCCCGCAAAUUCUUCUUCUCAUCUCUCUUUGUAAUUU
rnacentral:lncRNA from 1 species